rnacentral:snRNA from 1 species
AAGUGUUACAUAGCUCUUUUAGAAUUUGCCUAGCAGGUUUUCCGGUUUUCACUGGAAACCUUU